AUGGCGGCCACGCUCCUCCGCCGGGCGCUCCACCUCCGCCGCGCCCUCCCCUCUCCAGCUUCCUCGCGCGCGCUCCUCCCCGCGGCCUCCAGCCGCCUCCUCUCCGUCACCGCCUCCACCCAGCAGAACACCGCCGGCACCGCCAUCGACCUCUCCAACGACGAGAGCCGCCGCCGCCUCGUCAACAGGUGCGUCUCCCCCAUCGCUCCUUCGAGCCUUCAGCCUCUGGGCCGCCAAGUACGUAUGCUGACUGGGAGGCCGCGUGCGUGCAGUCUGAUGUACAGGAGCAAGCAGAGGGGCUUCCUGGAGCUGGACCUGGUGCUCGGGACCUGGGUGGAGCAGCACGUCCGCUCCAUGGACGAGGCCAACAUCCGCUCCCUGCUCCAGAUCCUCGACCUCGAGAACCCAGAUUUGUGGAAAUGGCUUACUGGUCAAGAGCAAGCGCCAGAGACUGUAAACUCUAAUCCUGUAUUUGCUGCCAUUAAGUCGAAGGUGACGGAUAACCUGAGCAAGCACUCUUCCCCAGAGACCCGGUCAGCGCCUGGCCAGCCUUGGGUGAGAGGGUGGGAUGACAAGGACAAGAGGGGUCUGGAUGGACCCAAGUACGGAAACCAGUGA
rnacentral:rRNA from 1 species